GUCUACGGCCAUGCCACCCUGAACGUGUUCAAUCUUGUCUAAUCUCGGAAGCUAAGCAGGGUCGGGCCUGGUUAGUACUCGGAUAGGAGAUCACCUAGGAAGACCAGGUGCUGUAGGCA
rnacentral:rRNA from 1 species